AGGAUGAUCAGGGGCUGGAGCACCUCCUGUAUGAAGACAGGCUGAGGAAGUUGGGGCUGUUCAGCCUGGAGAAGAGAAGGCUGCAUGGAGACCUCAUAGCAGCCUUCCAGUAUCUGAAGGGGGCCUGCAGGGAUGCUGGGGAGGGACUCUUCAUUAGGGACUGUAGUGAUAGGACAAGGGGUGAGGGGUUUAAGCUGAAACAGGGGAAAUUCAGGUUAGAUAUAAGGAAGAAAUUCUUUACUGUGAGGGUGGUGAGGCACUGGCACAGGUUGCCCAAAGAAGUGGUGAAUGCUCCAUCCCUGGUGGUUGUUCAAGGCCAGGUUGGACAGAACCUUGGGUGACAUGGUCUAGGGUGAGGUGUCCCUGCCCAUGGCAGGGGGUUGGAACUAGAUGAUCUUAAGGUCCUUUCCAAC